rnacentral:tRNA from 1 species
GUGCUGGUGGUAUAGUGGCGAGCAUAGCUGCAUUCCAAGCUGUUGACCCGGGUUCGAUUCCCGGCAAACGCA